rnacentral:tmRNA from 1 species
GGGGGUGUACCGGUUUCGACGGGGAUGAGGAAGCGGGAUCAGCGGGCGGUGGAGCCUGGCCACCUUAAAAACGGGCAACCUUUAUAAAUUAAAGAACAACAACAGAACUGUUCUUGCCGCUGCCUGAUCAGGCGCGGCCGUCCGACUUAAGAGUACCGCGGCUUAGGAAGGGCGUCGUUUAGCGGUGAACGUGCGUACGGAAAGAGUUGACCGUGCCAUGCAUGAUGACUCUCACCUGACCGGCAGGCGUGACGGCUUGCCUGCCGGAAGGGGAACAGAGCGGGUCAGCCGCUCAAAAUAACCGUCUGCGCCCGGAGAAAAUUCCGUGAAAUUGUUUUCGGACAGGGGUUCGACUCCCCUCACCUCCACCA